rnacentral:tmRNA from 2 species
GGGGAUGACAGGCCUAGACAAUUAGGGCUGUUGGGAUGAUGCACGAGGGAGCUGAGGCGACUCUUUAAUCCGCCUCAAACAUCAAAUGCAAAUUCAACUUUUGCAAAGAUCGUCAGCCCGUAUUUUACGGCUAACGAUUUCCAGUUUGCCUACGCUCGAGCUUAAAACUCGCGGAAGCCAACUGCGCAGUUCUGUAAGGUGUCUUGUGUAGCAGACACUGUGUGAUCACUCAAGACUCUGGAAUGUAUCUCCUCAAUACAUUUCGAAACUAAGAGGAUAGAGGUUUGGGAGCUUUUGUUUGCUUUGUAUCUCAAAUCUCAAACUCAAUGAAGCAAACUAUCUCGUGUAGAUUUCAUCUCGAUUCCUUUUUGGACCCGGAUUCAAUUUCCGGCAUCUCCACCG